rnacentral:rRNA from 1 species
UACAGAGGUCCCGAGCGUUGUUCGGAUUCAUUGGGCGUAAAGGGUGCGUAGGCGGCGGGGAAAGUCUGAUGUGAAAUCCUGGGGCUCAACCCUGGAACUGCAUUGGAUACUUCCUUGCUAGAGUACUGGAGAGGAAACUGGAAUUUACGGUGUAGCAGUGAAAUGCGUAGAGAUCGUAAGGAAGACCAGUGGCGAAGGCGAGUUUCUGGACAGCUACUGACGCUGAGGCACGAAGGCCAGGGGAGCAAACGGG